rnacentral:rRNA from 1 species
CCUACGGGAGGCAGCAGUGAGGAAUAUUGGUCAAUGGACGAGAGUCUGAACCAGCCAAGUAGCGUGAAGGAUGACUGCCCUCUGGGUUGUAAACUUCUUUUAUAAAGGAGUACAACCAGGCACGUGUGCCUUUUUGCAUGGACUUUAUGAAUAAGGAUAGGCUAACGCCGUGCCAGCAGCCGCGGUAAUACGGAGGGUCCGAGCGUUAUCCGGAUUUAGUGGGUUUAAAGGGAUCGUAGAUGGGGUGUUAAGUCAGUUGUGAAAGUUUGCGGCUCAACCGUAAAAUUGCAAUUGAUACUGGCAGUCUGGAGUACAGUUGAGGUAGGCGGAAUUCGUGGUGUAGCGGUGAAAUGCUUAGAUAUCACGAAGAACCCCGAUGGCGAAGGCAGCUUACUAAACUGUGACUGACAUUGAUGCUCGAAAGUGUGGGUAUCAAACAGGAUUAGAUACCCCUGUAGUC